GUUAAUAUUUGUAAAUAAAGAUUUGUUAAAAGAUGGACUUGAAAUCCAUUGGGUUCUACCCGCGCAGGUUCGAAUCCUGUCCGCAGCG